rnacentral:rRNA from 1 species
ACUCCUACGGGAGGCAGCAGUGGGAAUAUUGGACAAUGGGGGAAACCCUGAUCCAGCCAUGCCGCGUGUGUGAAGAAGGCCUUCGGGUUGUAAAAGCACUUUCAGUGGGGAGGAAAGGUUGUUGUUAAUACCUAACAGCUGUGACGUUACCCACAGAAGAAGCACCGGCUAAACUCCGUGCCAGCAGCCGCGGUAAUACGGAGGGUGCAAGCGUUAAUCGGAAUUACUGGGCGUAAAGCGUGCGCAGGCGGUCUGUUAAGCGAGAGUGAAAGCCCCGGGCUCAACCUGGGAACUGCAUUUCGAACUGGCAGACUAAGAGUCUUGUAGAGGGGGGUAGAA